UACGUAGGGGGCGAGCGUUGUCCGGAAUUACUGGGCGUAAAGCGCUCGCAGGCGGCAUGUUAAGUCCGAUGUAAAAUCCUGAAGCUCAACUUUCGUAAGCAUUGGAAACUGUGAAGCUUGAGUGAAGGAGAGGAAAGUGGAAUUCCUAGUGUAGCGGUGAAAUGCGUAGAUAUUAGGAGGAAUACCGGUGGCGAAGGCGACUCGCUGGACUGUAACUGACGCUGAGGAGCGAAAGCGUGGGGAGCAAACAGG
rnacentral:rRNA from 1 species